AUGCAAGUCGCACGAGAACGCUUCAGCUUGCUGAAGUUAGUAAAGUGGCGCACGGGUGAGUAACGCGUGGGUAAUCUACCCCCCGAAUUGGGGAUAACAUCGCGAAAGCGAUGCUAAUACCGAAUGAUAUCUUGAAAACUCUGUUUUCUGGAUCAAAGAUGGCCUCUACAUGUAAGCUAUUGUUUGGGGAUGAGCCCGCGUACCAUUAGCUUGUUGGUAGGGUAAUGGCCUACCAAGGCAACGAUGGUUAGCUGGUCUGAGAGGAUGAUCAGCCACACUGGAACUGACACACGGUCCAGACUCCUACGGGAGGCAGCAGUGAGGAAUUUUGCGCAAUGGGGGAAACCCUGACGCAGCAACGCCGCGUGAGUGAUGAAGGCUUUCGGGUCGUAAAGCUCUGUCAAGUGGGAAGAAACCAUAUGGUGUUAAUAUCGCCAUAUGCUGACGGUACCAUUGAAGGAAGCACCGGCUAACUCCGUGCCAGCAGCCGCGGUAAUACG
rnacentral:rRNA from 1 species